UGGGGAAUUUUGGACAAUGGGCGAAAGCCUGAUCCAGCAAUGCCGCGUGUGUGAAGAAGGCCUUCGGGUUGUAAAGCACUUUUGUCCGAAAAGAAAUCCUUGGCUCUAAUACAGUCGGGGGAUGACGGUACCGGAAGAAUAAGCACCGGCUAACUACGUGCCAGCAGCCGCGGUAAUACGUAGGGUGCAAGCGUUAAUCGGAAUUACUGGGCGUAAAGCGUGCGCAGGCGGUUUGCUAAGACCGAUGUGAAAUCCCCGGGCUCAACCUGGGAACUGCAUUGGUGACUGGCAGGCUAGAGUAUGGCAGAGGGGGGUAGAAUUCCACGUGUAGCAGUGAAAUGCGUAGAGAUGUGGAGGAAUACCGAUGGCGAAGGCAGCCCCCUGGGCCAAUACUGACGCUCAUGCACGAAAGCGUGGGGAGCAAACAGGAUUAGAUACCCUGGUAGUCCACGCCCUAAACGAUGUCAACUAGUUGUUGGGGAUUCAUUUCCUUAGUAACGUAGCUAACGCGUGAAGUUGACCGCCUGGGGAGUACGGUCGCAAGAUUAAAACUUAAAGGAAUUGAC
rnacentral:rRNA from 1 species